rnacentral:lncRNA from 1 species
UGUCCAAUCAUAGACUAAUUGACUCAAAAGAUUCGUGUCUCACAAAUUACAGGCAAACUCUACAAUUAGUUAUUUUUUAUCUCUAUAUUAUAUUCCAUGCAUGUGCCGCAAAAUUCGAUGUGAUGGAAAAUCUUGAAAAGAUUUUGGAUUAUAGGUGUAACACCUUAUUAUUACCUUUGGGUGGAGCUGAGAUCUGUGUGUUGUUGUUGCUGCUACCUUUGUCUUUUUCCCUUACAACGUAGGUUGUUCACGACUAACAAUAGGGGGUGGAGGUAAUAGAGCUCUCCCAGUGGGAUAGAAUAGUGGACACUUGACAAGCAAUGUGAUGAGUUAGGAAUGUGAGUGCCCAUGAUUAAGACACUACUAGAAAAGGUAUAUUUAGACGCAAGUAAAAAAGAUAUUUAGAGGUGAUUGCACACUCCAUCUCUACUUACGCGGCUCUAGAAACGAGGGAGUUACACGAGCGGUCCACACUUUACCCCUAAAAAUGUGGAGAUCGAUUCAGAAGAUAAACUCACCAAGCCGCUCUAGGCAUCUCCAUUGAUGUUUCUCUAACCCAACUAUGAUAAUCAUUGCCUAUACCAUGAAGUACAACUGCUAUGGAGUUUGAUUGUAGAUUCUGGCUUCACAACUACUGUAGGGCUUGCUGAAUUGAUCCAGAUCGAGGCAUAGUGUGCCCAACCAAUGUAUGGAUUAAGCCAAGGACUAUACAUACCCAGCCUUCCUAGCUUUGUCGACAGAGUCACUACCAUGCCUAGCUACUCGCGGUUGCUAUGGAGUUAGCUCUAGUGGGCUCAUUGGGGGUUAUUGAUCUAGUGAAGAUCAAACUUGGAGAUGGCUUUCCUUUCUAGGCCUAGAUGCCUUGUACUUUCACCCUUUUUGUUCAACUUUUGUUUGACUUUUGUAAUUAUUAUUCUUUCAUUUAGUGGAAAAGAAAAACUAGGUAGCGGACUCUCUUGCUGCUA